rnacentral:rRNA from 1 species
AUUGAACGCUGGCGGCAGGCCUAACACAUGCAAGUCGAACGAGUGGCGGACGGGUGAGUAAUGUCUGGGCAACUGCCCGAUGGAGGGGGGUAACUGCUGUAAACGGUAGCUAAUACCGCAUACCAUCGGAUGUGCCCAGAUGGGAUUAGCUAGUAGGUGGGGUAACGGCUCACCGAGGCGACGCUCCCUAGCUGGUCUGAGAGGAGGACCAGCCACACUGGAACUGAGACACGGCCCAGACUCCUACGGGAGGCAGCAGUGGGGAAUAUUGCACAAUGGGCGAAAGCCUGAUGCAGCCAUGCCGCGUGGAUGAAGAAGGCCUUCGGGUUGUAAAGUACUGUCAGCGAGGAAGCGUUACUCGCAGAAGAAGCACCGGCUAACUCCGUGCCAGCAGCCGCGGUAAUUC